CUCUGUGUGUAUACGCGUCCACUAAUCGACCAUACGAAACACCGGGAUCAAAAUCUACAUUUUAAUCAGGAAACGACCCGGUAUACUAGCUUUAGUUUGUCCGGUGAUUACACAGCCGAUAUGGAAAUGUUUCCGGAUAAUAAAUCACCCGUCCAGAGAAUUUCGCAUCCCUUUGUAAAAACCCAAUGGACAACAGCGAUGUAACACGCGACUCCGGGAUUCUCCAAAAACAGCAUUUCG